CGGCGCUGAGGAUCGUGGCCCUGGAGCGGGGCGACAGCGGGGUCUACGGGGCUCGGAUCAAACUGCACCCAGCGCUGGUGGAGGAUCAGUUCUUCAACCUCUCCGUCUGCGGGGACCGAGCCAGCAGCUUUUCCUGGUGCAACACUGGAGGAGUAAUGGACCCGGUGUCUCCCAAAGUCCUGAGCCUGAUGCCUUCAGCCCACCCGGCCAGACGAGCCCCGGUGAGGUGCUGCCCGUCUCCCCAUCACUUGGGGACCACAGGGGAUGUCCGGCACAGCGAUGCUUCACCUCGCUGGGGGUGUCCCAGCCUGUCAAACCCCUUGUCACCGGUUCACAGGCAGGAGGAUUUGGCAGGAGGCAGCCCCUGCCUUGCAGAAGAGCCGGUGUCAUUCCUGGCAAGCACCUGCCAUGGAGCCCCGUCUCCAUCUGGAUGACCUUCGUGCCAUCGAGCCAUCUUGUUCUCCUUUUCCUCGGCUCUCAAAGGGACGGGCGGUUUUCCCCGUUAGCUGGAAAUUUCAACUCAGUGAUUUUCAUUUCCCCUCUCCCCUCAAGACGUGGGAGGAACUAGCAGAGUGGGCAGCGUGUCCAGCCCCUGCUUGCCUGUCCGCUCCCCUCGGGGGGACCCCAAGGGGCAUUUUUGGAGCAUUCACUGGCCACAAGCAGCCUGUGUCCCUCCCUCAGUUUCCCCAGCAUGUCGAGGAUCCUCGUUUGAAGGCACCCCGAGAUUAGAGCUGCAGUUAAUUGUCCCUUGGGUGCAGGUUAAUGAUUUUUGCUUGUAGGCGGGGAGCAGCAAGCACCGUCCCCACCGCUCCGCUCGGUCCCACUGCAGAGAGCAGCCCUGCUGCGGAGGCAGCUUUCCCCCCCCUCCCUGUUUUCAACCUCGAGUUUCUGGAGGUUUUAAAUAAAAAAUAAGCUUUC